rnacentral:rRNA from 1 species
AUUGAACGCUGGCGGCAGGCCUAACACAUGCAAGUCGAGCGGAUGAGUGGAGCUUGCUCCAUGAUUCAGCGGCGGACGGGUGAGUAAUGCCUAGGAAUCUGCCUGGUAGUGGGGGACCACGUUUCGAAAGGAACGCUAAUACCGCAUACGUCCUACGGGAGAAAGUGGGGGAUCUUCGGACCUCACGCUAUCAGAUGAGCCUAGGUCGGAUUAUCUAGUUGGUGAGGUAAAGGCUCACUAAGGCGACGAUCCGUAACUGGUCUGAGAGGAUGAUCAGUCACACUGGAACUGAGACACGGUCCAGACUCCUACGGUAGGCAGCAGUGGGGAAUAUUGGACAAUGGGCGAAAGCCUGAUCCAGCCAUGCCGCGUGUGUGAAGAAGGUCUUCGGAUUGUAAAGCACUUUAAGUUGGGAGGAAGGGCAGUAAGUUAAUACCUUGCUGUUUUGACGUUACCAACAGAAUAAGCACCGGCUAACUUCGUGCCAGCCGCCGCCGUAAUAC